UGAGAGGGGAAGGUGAAGAAACGAGGAGGGAUGCGCACUGGGACCUGUGGCUCAUCGCAGCCAAAACCCAUCUCCAACAACGUCUCCUCUGCAUCUUCCGAACACAACUGCAGGACCUCUGAUACACUGUGUGCAUCUCUUUUUUUUCACACGCUGCCGGAACAGCCAGCAAUUUGGUGUUCAGUGUCUUGCCUAAGGACACUUGGGACUGUAGAAUGGAGGAGCCAGGGUUCAAACCACCAACCUCAUGGUAAGUGGACGACCCACUUUCGAAUAAAAAGAUUUGAAUAAAUAGAAUUAAAACUUUGUGCAUCUUAUUAUUCCGGAAAAAUAAACAAAAAUGUCAAGUAGGGAAACUGACUUGGAAAAGCUGCAACUCAUCAAGCAGGUAACUAGGAGGAAAGGAGCCUGGUUGUCAGUCUACUGCCCUACACGAUAAUGAACCUGGUGAAAGUGUCGCUUCACCUUGAUGUAGUCUUACAGGUGGAGGAGGACGGGCAGCUGGAGGUCAUGCUGUGGCCCAAGUUCAGUGACGGCAGACGUAGUCCACGAAGAGGGCCGCUAUCGACAAAAGAAAUAAGGUCCCAUGCAAAUGUUUUAACGUGGGAAGAUGCUUGAAAUGGACUACAAUCAACUGACAGAUGAGUGCUUUCUUAAUAUCUAAUUCACACAUCUGAAUCGUAACAGUCAAAGUGAGCAGGGGUGUAACCAGAAACUAAAAAUAUCAGUGAAGAAACUUGUUAAUAUGCUCUGAUCUGACUAAAGCACGAAAAAGGUCAACUCUCUCCAAAAUGAAUUGUUAUAAUUAUAUAUAUACAGUAUAUAUAUAUAUAUAUAUAU